AUGUCCCGUGAUGUUACUAAUCACGCUUCCACCAGCCGGGCGCCAGGACCGGACAUAAAGGCGGAAGCCGAUAUGGGGCGGGCACCGGAUAAUCCCCCUACAGAGGAUGCAGAUAGAUUAUUCGCUACAAACUCAGAGGUGGAAAGCGCCAUGAAUCAUAGGCGCCGCCGGGCCAUACUCCGUGACGCCUGUUUCUCACCAGAGGCAUUUGAUGCCUUCAAUUCUGGAGAGGCGUACCUCCGAGCUGCUCAAGAUGGUCUAGCCAGAGCCACGGAUCAGUAUGUAAAGGAUGUACGGGUUCUUACAAAGAAGAAUAUUAGGCUGUCACAGGAGCUAGAGGAAUGUAAGACCCAACUGCGGGCUGCUGUGGCCGCAUUGCAGGAACCGAAAAAGUCACCUGCUGAUGAAUCCGGAGAAAAUCCGGAGGACCAGCAUGUUAUGCGACAGCUAGAGGCUGGCAAACGCGUGCUAACUGAGGUUAGGCGGGAGAAAAACAAUCUCCAAGACGCCAAUAUUAAGCUGAGCGUGGAACUAAAAGACGUUCGGGGCCAGCUUGCAGACUCCGAGAAGGAGAAUAAGCGGCUUCGACGCGGCAUUUUUAGUAUGCUGACGGGCCGUCCCGUGAAGGAAAUGCCCGGGUCUGCGGGUGAUCUUCUAUCCGAGCUGUCACAUCUGCACGAACAAGUUCGGCAGGUGAUGCAGGGUGUUGCCCAGGCCUUGUGGCCGUCCGUCUCCCUGCAAGAGGGCGUUGCAGAGCUUGCGAAGAAGCUCAAGGGAGCACGGCGGCGCUUCCGAUUAUGGAAGAUAUCAGCCUGCCGACAGGGUGCCAGAGAAGCCUGGGCCAUGGUGAAGACUCGGUAUACCAAGGCAGACCCAAAUCACAUGGCCGAGGUCGGACCUGUGGGGCCCGACGGAAAAGAGGUCCCCAUUAGCUUAGUUUAUGGGCAAGUAGAAUUAGCCGCAAAGUAUUCCCAACAGGAUUGUAAGCUAGACCGCCUGUUGGAUGGUAUAUAA
rnacentral:rRNA from 1 species